UUAAUCUUGAGCUCUGCUAUUUAGGGAUAAGAUUCAGAUUCACAGGGACUUGAUUCAUCAGCAGUUCAGCACCCCCAGUUUUGCUUAUAAGUCAGAUGAUGGAGUAGUCCAAUAUUAUUAAGUUAAAGCUGCAAGCACGCACUGAACAUUGUACGAACGGUUCAUAUUUGAAUUGAAAGAUUUGAUACAAGUGGUAAGCAAGAUAGUUAGAUAUAAUAUGGCCUUUAGUCUUUUACUUGCAUUUAUAUGUUUAUCAAAAUAACAAGCACUUUGAGGACGAUGGAAUAGCAAUGAUAUUUUAUUCUUUAAUUUUUGUAGCACAAUUUUGUUCUUGAAACUUUCUCAGGCUUAACACUACAUUGAGUUCUGGAAUUUAUGAAGUCUGGAUUUUGAAUGCUCUGUACAAUUUCUACCUUGACAGUAUGGAUGGUUAUGUGAAUUGUGUAAUCUAUGCUCAAACGUUUGGACUC